GCAAUUCGCCCUUGGGGCGCAGCAGGCGCGAAAACUUUACAAUGCUGGAAACAGCGAUAAGGGGACCUCGAGUGCCAGGUUACAAAUCUGGCUGUCGUGAUGCCUAAAAAGCAUUGCAUAGCAAGGGCCGGGCAAGACCGGUGCCAGCCGCCGCGGUAACACCGGCGGCUCGAGUGGUAACCGUUAUUAUUGGGUCUAAAGGGUCUGUAGCCGGCCAGAUAAGUCUCUUGGGAAAUCCAGCAGCUCAACUGUUGGGCUUUCAGGAGAUACUGUCUGGCUCGAGGCCGGGAGAGGUGAGAGGUACUUCAGGGGUAGGGGUGAAAUCUUGUAAUCCUUGAAGGACCACCAGUGGCGAAGGCGUCUCACCAGAACGGACCUGACGGCAAGGGACGAAAGCUAGGGGCACGAACCGGAUUAGAUACCCGGGUAGUCCUAGCCGUAAACGAUACUCGCUAGGUGUCGGCCACGGUGCGACCGUUGUCGGUGCCGUAGGGAAGCCGUGAAGCGAGCCACCUGGGAAGUACGGCCGCAAGGCUGAAACUUAAAGGAAUUGGCGGGGGAGCAC
rnacentral:rRNA from 1 species